rnacentral:rRNA from 1 species
GACGUGCUAAUCUGCGAAAAGCGCCGGUAAGGUGAUAUGAACCGUUAUAACCGGCGAUGUCCGAAUGGGGAAACCCAGUGUGACUCGUCACACUAUCAUUAACUGAAUCCAUAGGUUAAUGAGGCGAACCGGGGGAACUGAAACAUCUAAGUACCCCGAGGAAAAGAAAUCAACCGAGAUUCCCCCAGUAGCGGCGAGCGAACGGGGAGGAGCCCAGAGCCUGAAUCAGCAUGUGUGUUAGUGGAAGCGUCUGGAAAGGCGCGCGAUACAGGGUGAGAGCCCCGUACACAAAAGCGCACGUGCUGUGAGCUCGAUGAGUAGGGCGGGACACGUGGUAUCCUGUCUGAAUAUGGGGGGACCAUCCUCCAAGGCUAAAUACUCCUGACUGACCGAUAGUGAACCAGUACCGUGAGGGAAAGGCGAAAAGAACCCCGGCGAGGGGAGUGAAACAGAACCUGAAACCGUGUACGUACAAGCAGUGGGAGCCCCACCACUAAGCCAGUGGUGAACUCCACAUACGCAUCCUUUGCUGAGGAUACGGUUAACGGAGCGAAAGCGACGUUCAACCGCAAAAGAAGCAGAGGGGGCUUAGUGGUGGGGUGACUGCGUACCUUUUGUAUAAUGGGUCAGCGACUUAUAUUCUGUAGCAAGGUUAACCGCAUAGGGGAGCCGGAGGGAAACCGAGUCUUAAUUGGGCGUUAAGUUGCAGGGUAUAGACCCGAAACCCGGUGAUCUAGCCAUGGGCAGGUUGAAGGUUGGGUAACACUAACUGGAGGACCGAACCGACUAAUGUUGAAAAAUUAGCGGAUGACCUGUGGCUGGGGGUGAAAGGCCAAUCAAACCGGGAGAUAGCUGGUUCUCCCCGAAAGCUAUUUAGGUAGCGCCUCGUGAAUUCAUCUCCGGGGGUAGAGCACUGUUUCGGCCAGGGGGCCAUCCCGGCUUACCAAUCCGAUGCAAACUGCGAAUACCGGAGAAUGUUAUCACGGGAGACACACGGCGGGUGCUAACGUCCGUCGUGAAGAGGGAAACAACCCAGACCGCCAGCUAAGGUCCCAAAGUCAUGGUUAAGUGGGAAACGAUGUGGGAAGGCCCAGACAGCCAGGAUGUUGGCUUAGAAGCAGCCAUCAUUUAAAGAAAGCGUAAUAGCUCACUGGUCGAGUCGGCCUGCGCGGAAGAUGUAACGGGGCUAAACCAUGCACCGAAGCUGCGGCAGCGACACUGAUGUGUUGUUGGGUAGGGGAGCGUUCUGUAAGCCGUUGAAGGUGGCCUGUGAGGGUUGCUGGAGGUAUCAGAAGUGCGAAUGCUGACAUAAGUAACGAUAAAGCGGGUGAAAAGCCCGCUCGCCGGAAGACCAAGGGUUCCUGUCCAACGUUAAUCGGGGCAGGGUGAGUCGACCCCUAAGGCGAGGCCGAAAGGCGUAGUCGAUGGGAAACGGGUUAAUAUUCCCGUACUUGGUGUUACUGCGAAGGGGGGACGGAGAAGGCUAUGUUGGCCGGGCGACGGUUGUCCCGGUUUAAGCGUGCAGGUGUGUGUUCCAGGUAAAUCCGGUU